rnacentral:rRNA from 1 species
GACGAACGCUGGCGGCGUGCCUAAUACAUGCAAGUCGAGCGGACUGACUGGGAGCUUGCUCUUGUUCGGUCAGCGGCGGACGGGUGAGUAACACGUGGGCAACCUGCCCGCAAGACCGGGAUAACUCCGGGAAACCGGAGCUAAUACCGGAUAACACCGAAGACCGCAUGGUCUUUGGUUGAAAGGCGGCGCAAGCUGCCACUUGCGGAUGGGCCCGCGGCGCAUUAGCUAGUUGGUGAGGUAACGGCUCACCAAGGCGACGAUGCGUAGCCGGCCUGAGAGGGUGACCGGCCACACUGGGACGGAGACACGGCCCAGACUCCUACGGGAGGCAGCAGUAGGGAAUCUUCCGCAAUGGGCGAAAGCCUGACGGAGCGACGCCGCGUGAGCGAAGAAGGCCUUCGGGUCGUAAAGCUCUGUUGUGAGGGACGAAGGAGCGCCGUUUGAAGAAGGCGGCGCGGUGACGGUACCUCACGAGGAAGCCCCGGCUAACUACGUG